rnacentral:antisense_RNA from 1 species
CUCAAUGGACGGCAAUGGUAGGGAGCCUUCGGGCUGCCGGUUUUCCUUUUUGCACCGGUCUGCUAACCCCGCCAUCUGCCGUCCUCCCGU